GUAGUGGGUGAUAUGGAUAUGUAGUGGGUGAUGUGGAUAGGUAGUGGAUGAUGUGGAUAGGGGAUAGGUAGUGGGUGAUGUGGAUAGGUAAUGGAUGAUGUGGAUAGGGGAUAGGUAGUGGGUGAUGUGGAUAGGUAGUGGGUGAUAUGGAUAUGUAGUGGGUGAUGUGGAUAGGUAGUGGAUGAUGUGGAUAGUAGAUAGGUAGUGGGUGAUGUGGAUAGGUAGUGGAUGAUGUGGAUAGUAGAUAGGUAGUGGAUGAUGUGGAUAGUAGAUAGGUAGUGGAUGAUGUGGAUAGUAUAUAGGUAGUGGAUGAUGUGGAUAGUAUAUAGGUAGUGGGUGAUGUGGAUAGUGGAUAGGUAGUGGGUGAUGUGGAUAGGUAGUGGAUGAUGUGGAUAGUGGAUAGGCAGUGGAUGAUGUGGAUAGUAGAUAGGUAGUGGGUGAUGUGGAUAGGUAGUGGGUGAUGUGGAUAGUAGAUAGGUAGUGGGUGAUGUGGAUAGGUAGUGGGUGAUGUGGAUAGUAGAUAGGUAGUGGGUGAUGUGGAUAGGUAGUGGGUGAUGUGGAUAGUAUAUAGGUAGUGGGUGAUGUGGAUAGUGGAUAGGUAUUGGAUGAUGUGGAUAGUAGAUAGGUAGUGGGUGAUGUGGAUAGUGGAUAGGUAGUGGGUGAUGUGGAUAGUAGAUAGGUAGUGGGUGAUGUGGAUAGUG
ensembl:lncRNA